rnacentral:lncRNA from 1 species
UGUUUGAUAGGUAGGUAACAUCCUACAAGUGUUUUAUUAAAAUUAUUUGAAAAUAUUUCAUACCAAAUACUGUGCAAGUUAUUGUUACGAUUUCAACUUUAAUUGCAUAAGAAAAUCUCUUUAAUUACAUGAAACCAAAUUUUUGAAUGUUGCAGUUUCUCGAUUCAUAAUAGCAUAUAUUAAACCAUAUAUUUUUAAAAUUAGCUACAUGGUAUUCAUACAUUGCUAUGCAAAUUUAUUAUUAUAUUUAUGUAAAUUUGAUCAAGCAGGUAAAAUUACAUUUGUUGAAUAUUCUGUUGUAAAUCAGGCAAAUCAUAAGCAAAUUCUGCAAAGAACUUGGUUUCCACAUUUCGUUAAGAUAAAAAUAUAGAGUGUUCUAGAGGAUUUAAUGCAGUAAAUUUCUAUUUCAAAACAUUAUUUUCCUUAAAGGAAAGAACGAUGCAGUUCGAACUUCUAUCGCAUGGUUUAUUUUAAUCUUGAUGUAGAUAAAGAUAAAAUAGAAAAGAAAGGACAUAAGCUAGUUCACUUUACAGAAAGGACAUAAGCUAAUGUUUAUACGCUGAAGUACUGCUUGCUUAGGCAAACCCAAUGUCCUCAAAAAACUCCACCCCGUAAGGUUUAAAAACCACUGCCAAUCAACUACCUCAUGCACGAGUUAAUUGAGCACCAAAUGAUGAUAAUAACAAUAAUAAAAUUUAAGACAUAAUUUAAGGAAAAAUGCCCAAGGACCAGUGCCAUAAUGACCUUUCUCACCACCAUAGCCAUUAAAAAACACAACUGGGUUGCCCGUAUCAGGGCCGCCAUUCACAAUUCCAAAAGUCCCAGCACCUAUAAAAACAAGUUUACGUCCAAAAGAGGUUCAAUACCUAAGCGAACAGGGGAAAAAAAUACCAGGUCCCAUAGCUCUCUUCUCCAGCUCUGUCCUCAGCUUCUCAAGCACCCGAGCCACGGACACAAGGUU